CAAGUACUCCCUCCGUUCGGAAUUACUUGUCUCGGAAAUGGAUGUAUCUAGAACUAAAAUACAUCUAGAUAUAUCCAUUUUCACGACAAGUAAUUCCGAACGGAGGGAGUAUGUA
rnacentral:pre_miRNA from 1 species